CCUACGGGGGGCUGCAGUGGGGAAUAUUGCAUAAUGGGCGCAAGCCUGAUGCAGCCAUGCCGCGUGUGUGAAGAAGGCCUUCGGGUUGUAAAGCACUUUCAGCGGGGAGGAAGGCGGUGAGGUUAAUAACCUCAUCGAUUGACGUUACCCGCAGAAGAAGCACCGGCUAACUCCGUGCCAGCAGCCGCGGUAAUACGGAGGGUGCAAGCGUUAAUCGGAAUUACUGGGCGUAAAGCGCACGCAGGCGGUCUGUCAAGUCGGAUGUGAAAUCCCCGGCCUCAACCUGGGAACUGCAUUCGAAACUGGCAGGCUAGAGUCUUGUAGAGGGGGGUAGAAUUCCAGGUGUAGCGGUGAAAUGCGUAGAGAUCUGGAGGAAUACCGGUGGCGAAGGCGGCCCCCUGGACAAAGACUGACGCUCAGGUGCGAAAGCGUGGGGAGCAGACAGGAUUAGAUACCCGGGUAGUC
rnacentral:rRNA from 1 species